rnacentral:rRNA from 1 species
GACGUAGGAUGCGAGCGUUAUUCGGAUUUAUUGGGCGUAAAGCGUGCGUAGGCGGCUAUUUAAGUCUGGUGUUAAAGCUAGGGGCUCAACCCCUGUGAUGCACUGGAUACUGGGUAGCUUGAUUGCGGUAGGGGAAGGUGGAAUUCCGAGUGUAGCGGUGAAAUGCGUAGAUAUUCGGAAGAACACCGGUGGCGAAGGCGACCUUCUGGGCCGCAACUGACGCUGAGGCACGAAAGCCUGGGGAGCGAACGGG